AUUGAACGCUGGCGGCAGGCCUAACACAUGCAAGUCGAACGAGUGGCGGACGGGUGAGUAAUGUCUGGGAAACUGCCUGAUGGAGGGGGAUAACUACUGGAAAAGGUAGCUAAUACCGCAUACCAUCGGAUGUGCCCAGAUGGGAUUCGCUAGUAGGUGGGGUAAAGGCUCACCUAGGAGACGAUCCCUCGCUGGUCUGAGAGGAUUACCAGCCACACUGUAACUGAGACACGGCCCAGACGCCUACGGGAGGCAGCAGUGGGGAAUAUGGCACAAUGGGCGCAAGCCGGAUGCAGCAAUGCCGCGUGUAUGAAGAAGGCCUUCGGGUUGUAAAGUACUUUCAGCUGGGAGGCGUUACCCGCAGAAGAAGCACCGGCUAACUCCGUGCCAGCAGCCGCGGUAAUUC
rnacentral:rRNA from 1 species